UCCUUGUACUUGCAAAAAUUAAUACUACUCAGUUACAAAAUUUAACAAUUAGCAACACAGUAAUAUAAGAUUAACUAUAAAUUAUAUGCAGAUAUUAUUAGUAUAUAUUAUAUUUUUUUAAAUCAUUAAUAAUGUUGUUAUUAGUAUUGUAAUAAACCUUUUAAAGGAACUCGGCAACUACAUAUUCAACUGUUUAUCAAAAACAUAACUAUAUGUUAUUAUAUAUAGCAUCUCCUGCUCAAUGGUAUACUAAAUAGCCGCAGUACAUUGACUGUGCAAAGGUAGCAUAAUCAGUUGGCCUAUAAUUGAGGUCUGGCAUGAAUGGAUUUACUGGAUGUGUGCUGUCUUAAUAGGUUAAUAUAAUUUACUUAUUAAGUGUAAAUACUUAAACAUAAAUAAUAGACGAUAAGACCCUAGAAAUUUUUUACAAAACAUACACUUGUUACUAUUUUGCUGGGGCGGCAGAACAACAUAAAACUUGUUUACAGUAAUAUAACGUUAACUAAAUAAACAUAAUUACUCUAGGGAUAACAGCAUAAUUUAUUAUAGUUUGUGACCUCGAUGUUGGACUAAGGUUUAUAUUGUUUAGAAGACAAUUAUAUUAGCUCUGUUCGAGCAUAAAUUCUUACAUGAUCUGAGUUCAGACC
rnacentral:rRNA from 1 species